rnacentral:rRNA from 1 species
UACGGGGGGGGGCAAGCGUUGUUCGGAAUUACUGGGCGUAAAGGCUCGUAGGCGGCCAACUAAGUCAGACGUGAAAUCCCUCGGCUUAACCGGGGAACUGCAUCUGAUACUGGAUGGCUUGAGUUCGGGAGAGGGAUGCGGAAUUCCAGGUGUAGCGGUGAAAUGCGUAGAUAUCUGGAGGAACACCGGUGGCGAAGGCGGCAUCCUGGACCGACACUGACGCUGAGGAGCGAAAGCCAGGGGAGCAAACGGG